GAGACAGUCACAGGGGAAAGACGGUCAUGUGAUGACUGCAGACACUGAAGUGAUGCUGCCACAAGCCAAGGAAUGCUGAAGCCACCAGAGGCUGGAAGAGCAGGAGGCAUGGCUGGCUGGACCUGCCAGGCAGAGUGUGGCCCUGCCGACCCCUUGAUUUGGGACUUCUGGCCUCCAGAACUGCAGGAAAAGAAACCUUUCAGCCCCCUGGUUUGUGGUACUUUGUUACCACAGCCACAGGGGACAAAUACAGCUAGUCACUACCGUUCUGUGCCUCAGUUUACCCAACUGACAAAAGAGAAACCAAAGGAGGCCCCGUCCCUGUCUGCUGCUGGACAACUCCUCCUGGUCAUGUGAAUGAUGACCCCACCCCAACGUCAGCAGAGCUGUGCCCCUGACCGCACAAAGCUACAGGCCAUGAGUGUUUUGGAGUACCUACUGCGUGCCAGUGACUGUCCCAGAUUUUGGGGACACAGAAGUAUGUAUAAGAAGACAGAGUUCCUUUUGCAUGACUAUUAUGUAUUCAUCAUAACUACAAAUAAAUCAUCUUAUAAACA